GCGGCCGCGGUGGGACCGCGCGGCCUCGGGCUGGGGCAGCUGCAGCGCCGGAGGGAGCGCUGGCGGCCCCAUUUCGGCCGGAUCCUCUCAGGCCGGGAAGAGGAAGGGUCCGGAGUAGCCGUGAGGGGCAGGAAAGCCCUGGACUGAGACUCACAGAUCUGCUGUUGUUGCGGUUUUUUCUUCAGCCCAAACAACUUCCCGACAAGUGGCAGCACGAUCUUUUCGACAGUGGCUUCGGGGGUGGUGCCGGCGUGGAGACGGGUGGGAAACUGCUGGUGUCCAAUCUGGAUUUUGGAGUCUCAGACGCCGAUAUUCAGGUGGUUUCUAGCAUCCCCUGGAAACCGCUUUUGGUGAACUCCAGUUCCCGCUGUGUGCCUGCGGCCGGAGUAUCCCCACACUCUGGGUUCCCUCUCCAACUCCCAGCCUGCCUGAGGUCAGGGCAGUUUCCAUGGCAGCGCUUGACUUCAGACUUUGCCGCAGGCUUGAGUAGGAGGAGAGGGAAAGGAACUCUUUGCUGAAUUUGGAACGCUGAA
rnacentral:sRNA from 1 species